UCACUCUGGCAACGCAUACACUAAAAUUAUAACGAAUCAGAGAUUAGCAUGCCCAUGAACAAAGACAGCAGGAAAACUGAUGAAAUGUUCCACUGUUGU
rnacentral:snRNA from 1 species